CUGGGAUACUUGGGAGAGAUUGGAUAUGCUGGAGACAGUGGAUAUAAAUGAGAAUAAAAUACUGGGAAAUUCAGGAUGCAGUCGGAUCCAGCACACAAGAAGCUUUCUCCUAAAAACAGCACUGGUUCUUCAAGAAAAAGGGGGGACAAACAGAAAGAUCAAGAAUGAAAUGCGGAAGCCUUCUACUGAUUGCUUAUUUUAUUAAGAAAAAAAAGUGCCAGCACAGAAGUGAAGACACAAGUUGAUAGCAAGCAUCAGGCAGUUGUAAGCAAUGUGCACAGUGGUUCCAAUUAUUUGAAGCCCAGGCUGGCCUUGAAUUUACGGAGAUCCUUCUGCCUCAGCCUCCCAGGUGCACCACCAUGCUGGACCUAUAAUUAAUUGAAUUUAAACUGAAGCAUAUAAUGAUAAGCUAACCCUGUCCUUCCUGCUCCCUCACUCCUUCCUUUUCCCCUUCCUUCCUUCUUUAGACACUGUGAGCAGCUUUUGUUAAAGAGGGACGCUUUCCGAUGAUGGAGCUAGUUAUCAAAAAAGAGGCUAUUCCAAGCUGCAGCAAACCAGUCAUUCAACGAGAGGGAGGAUGGGCAAUCGCAGGUAGUCAUGGAUUCCUGUAAUUAGAAGGUGUGGUAAGAGCUGAGAAAAACUCACUAGGCAUCAAUGUGGAGAGAGAGUUGAGGAAAGACUUUUGUUUUUUAGGAAGUGACACCUGAAUUUCAAGUGUUACCACCAAAAAAGAA